GACGAACGCUGGCGGCGUGCCUAAUACAUGCAAGUUGAGCGCUGAAGGUUGGUACUUGUACCAACUGGAUGAGCAGCGAACGGGUGAGUAACGCGUGGGGAAUCUGCCUUUGAGCGGGGGACAACAUUUGGAAACGAAUGCUAAUACCGCAUAAAAACUUUAAACACAAGUUUUAAGUUUGAAAGAUACAAUUGCAUCACUCAAAGAUGAUCCCGCGUUGUAUUAGCUAGUUGGUGAGGUAAAGGCUCACCAAGGCGAUGAUACAUAGCCGACCUGAGAGGGUGAUCGGCCACAGUGGGACUGAGACACGGCCCAAACUCCUACGGGAGGCAGCAGUAGGGAAUCUUCGGCAAUGGACGAAAGUCUGACCGAGCAACGCCGCGUGAGUGAAGAAGGUUUUCGGAUCGUAAAACUCUGUUGGUAGAGAAGAACGUUGGUGAGGGUGGAAAGCUCAUCAAGUGACGGUAACUACCCAGAAAGGGACGGCUAACUACGUG
rnacentral:rRNA from 1 species